GGUUUUAUAGUUAAAUUAUAAUAUUAGACUGCAAUUCUAAAGUUAUAUUAUCAAUAUAAUAUUAAGACCU
rnacentral:tRNA from 1 species